UACGAAGGGGGCUAGCGUUGCUCGGAAUCACUGGGCGUAAAGCGCACGUAGGCGGAUCUUUAAGUCAGGGGUGAAAUCCUGGAGCUCAACUCCAGAACUGCCUUUGAUACUGGCGAUCUUGAGUCCGGGAGAGGUGAGUGGAACUGCGAGUGUAGAGGUGAAAUUCGUAGAUAUUCGCAAGAACACCAGUGGCGAAGGCGGCUCACUGGCCCGGUACUGGACGCUGA
rnacentral:rRNA from 1 species